UACGUAGGCAGCAAGCGUUGUUCGGAGUUACUGGGCGUAAAGGGUGCGUAGGCGGCUUUUUAAGUUUGUGUGAAAUCUCCCGGCUCAACUGGGAGGGUGCGCCGAAUACUGAGAGGCUAGAGUGUGGGAGAGGAAAGUGGAAUUCCUGGUGUAGCGGUGAAAUGCGUAGAUAUCAGGAGGAACACCGGUGGUGUAAACGGCUUUCUGGACCAUAACUGACGCUGAGGCACGAAAGCGUGGGUAGCAAACAGG
rnacentral:rRNA from 1 species